rnacentral:sRNA from 1 species
CAGUGUUAGGGAUAGAAGCGGUAUCCUUUUUAGCGCCGGUGUAUUGCAACGGCAGCCUUCGACGCGAGGAGAAGCGCUGCAGGAUUUUGCAGAAGCGCUAAAAAGAUACAAGCGGAUAGCCCGACCUACU